CUCGAAUCGAGAUUAAUCGAUUUUUUUCGGGGGGUCCAAGCUUACCAACCCCUUUUCGUGGCACAGUCAUUCCAAUCAGUCGAUGAAAAACUGUAUACACAAAAGUUGAAGUUCUGUCUAAACACAAAAAGGAAAAAAAACGGCUGGCCUAUAGUAGUGCAGACGAGCUAUUCUUGGUCGCCCUUUUUUGUGAGGUGUUUAGAGUCAGUGACUGCAGCAUUGAAUGCAUGUGCAUGCCGUGCUGGUAUGCAACUGGUGCACCGGCUCCUGCUGCUGCCUCCGCAACAGCACUUGCCCUUUCUCCCUCGGUGGAACAGUGCACACACACACACCGGCCACGACGACAACGUGAUCGUUGUUGGUGAUAUGAACACAUCCCGAUGCAGCAAGUUAUGCUACGGUGAACGCACACAGGGAUCUCCUCCCUUCGUGUUCUGCUUGGUUACGCGGUUCUCGCGCAAGAGCGUUUUACGAUGCUCACCGUUUAUUCUCACGUACCAAAUAGAACCUCAAAGUUUUCCUAGGAAUCACAUUCCGUACCCUACAUUUUACCCCAAAGGUAAAGCAGAGCAGCAUGCAUGGACGGACAACGAGUAAGGCCAUAAAGAACGACGAAAACGAAACCAAUUGGAACUUCAAUCCAGUGCGCGCGCUCUGCAUUUCCGAAUUAUUCUAACAAGAGCAAGAGUGGCUUGCGACCCUCCUCCGUUGUGGCGUAAAAUAUCCCCCCCUCAAAAAAUUUCGAAGAAAUUCGUUUCGAUUCCAUCGCAAGGAACUUCCUCAAAAUCAAGGGAACGAUCUCCUACCCCAGUCGUGGUGUGAAAAUGUCUUCGGGAGUUGAUUUGGAGAGUUGGUUCCGCUUGAAGAAAGCGAAUCCAACCAUACCAUUUUGGGGAUGGCACUACUAAAGGGCAGCGGAAACUUCUUUGGAAAGGAACACUCCGGAACAUAAAUGUCUUCCUGCAGCGAAAAGAACAUUUCCACAUCUCCCACUCCCACUGCUGCGUUCUGAGGAAGGAAGGAAGGAUGAGUGAACGAAAGGAAAUGCAGCAUUCCUUUCUUCUCUCGAGGUUGGGCUGUUCAGCAGUCCACCAACGGAGCGGAAGAUAAAGAUAAUCUCGUGCCGAAUGAAUUGGUAAUGUGCAGAGGCUGUGCAACAACAGACGGACGAAGUAAAAAAAAACGACCAUUCUCCUCCUUCACCAGGACUCCCC